GAUCAAAAAGAUGACUCGGGGAUGCGAUAAACAACCAAAGGCUUCAUGAUCAAAGAAAGUGAGGGGCUAGCGGUCAGAACUCUCUUCUCGCUCUCCAACAAAACUUAAAAUUCAGUGUUGAUCCGAGAUUCAAUUCGUCAGAACUUGGGGGUGUGGUGACUAUAUGAUUAUUGAUGUCUUAACAUAUUUUUCUUUAGUUUUUUUAUGAAUGUGUAUUGUGUGUAUUUACGCCACAAUUGAGGUACGUUUUUUCAAACUUUUGAAGAUUUACUGUUAUAUUAAUUUUGUUGAGUUAUGUGUUUAUAAGUGUUAGAUCUAGAUGUGAAUAUCGAUAGUCUUGAAUUCAUAUAACUGCUACUUGUUAUUUUUUUUCGAUCAUUCUGUUAUGAGAUGUCCAAGACGAGUAUUGUAGUUGUUUGGAUUAAUUGUUAUAGUCUUUUGGAGUCUAUAAUUUUUUUGCAUUAUUUCUUGAUUAAAAUUUUAAGUUUCUUGUGCAUUGUUUACACCUUUAGAUCAUUGUUUGAUUUGAUUAAUAUAUGAUUGAUUUUGUGAUCACUUGUUGUUUUUUUAUCAUAUUUGUUCAAAUGAGAUGAGUGAAUAAUUUCUUAGUCAA
rnacentral:lncRNA from 1 species